rnacentral:misc_RNA from 1 species
GUUCAGUUUCCGUCUCUCGUCUCCUUGCCAUGGAAAUCUAAAUACCUCGAUCGACCGCCAUAUCUUCCCAAAUCCCAAUUUCCCCUUUCUCUGCUAGAUCUCUCGCUGGCUCUGUUUGUGACUCUGUACAUGCACAUUGGAGUGGGAUAAUCGCAUGCUCACAUAGCUUUUUAUGCGCGCCAUAUAAUGCUUAUAAGAAUUCAGUAGGGAGGGAGAAUUCAAUUAUGGAAUGGAAACGGUGGCAGUGGUGCCUUUUGACGUGAAAUAUUAUUGGUGGUCCCUGGAUGUUGAGGAGUUAGAGCUAUGGUGGACUCAGACAAGGGAAUGUCUUCUGAUAACAUAAAGGGGCUGGUGUUAGCUUUGUCUUCCAGCUUCUUUAUUGGAGCAAGCUUUAUUGUAAAGAAAAAGGGUUUGAAAAAAGCUGCUGCUUCUGGUCUCAGGGCAGGUGCUGGGGGUUAUUCUUACCUGUAUGAGCCACUUUGGUGGAUUGGCAUGAUUACAAUGGUUGUUGGGGAAAUUGCUAACUUUGCAGCUUAUGCAUUUGCUCCAGCUAUUCUGGUCACUCCUCUUGGUGCCCUUAGCAUUAUUAUCAGGCAAGAGCAGAUUUACAGUUGUCUAUAAUAUGUCAGUUAUCUGAUUGUAAUGCUAUCUUCGAUGUUGUCUUACAGUGCUGCCCUAGCACAUGUUAUUUUACGGGAGAAAUUGCAUAUUUUUGGGAUUCUUGGUUGUGCUUUAUGCGUUGUGGGUUCAACAACAAUUGUGUUGCAUGCUCCUCAAGAGCGAGAGAUUGAGUCUGUCAAGGAAGUGUGGGAACUUGCAACAGAGCCAGCCUUUCUUUUCUAUGCUACUUUUGUCAUUGGAGCAGUUUUCAUCAUCAUUGUUCGUGUUAUACCCCAAUAUGGGCAGACUCAUGUUAUGGUCUAUAUAGCAGUUUGUUCACUUGUGGGUUCACUAUCGGUCAUGGGUGUCAAAGCAAUUGGAAUUGCUCUGAAGCUAACUUUCUCAGGGAUGAAUCAGUUAGUAUACCCCCAAACGUGGGCCUUUACCUUGGUUGUGGUUACCUGUGUGAUCACUCAGAUGAACUAUUUAAACAAGGCUCUUGAUACGUUCAACACAGCUGUUGUAUCGCCUAUAUACUAUGUGAUGUUUACAUCCUUGACCAUUUUGGCCAGUGUAAUCAUGUUUAAGGAUUGGGAUCGACAGAAUCCAACUCAAAUUGUUACUGAAAUGUGUGGAUUUGUGACUAUCCUUUCUGGAACUUUUCUUCUUCAUAAGACAAAGGACAUGGUUGAGGGUUUAUCACCAUCUCAAUCAUUGCGCCUUCCCAAGCACAUAGAAGAUGAUGUGUUUGAAACUGAAGGGAUGCCUCUUCGACGUCUAGAAUCCCUGCGACAGGCAUAGCUGUAUCCAGUGAUUCAUCUGUAUACUUUUAUUCAAGAUCUUGCAUGUAUUUUGGGGGAUUGCGGGACUCACACCAUUGGCCUGUAUAUUACCAACACGUUUAACUGGUCCUUGCGUUGUUUGAGAGGAUAAUGAGCAAAGUCGGCUGGAAUUCUUCUCAGAUAGAAAAUGAAAUGAGCAUUUUCAGCUGCUUCCUUGUAUACAGGUUUAACUCCGCUAAGGACCCCACCCUGGGGAAUUGUAGUUUGGAACACAUGGUUUUAACAUGAUAUAUCUUAGUUUCAUAUUAACAAAGAAAUGCAGAUAUUUUCCCCCUGGAUACCAAGGCAUUGUAGAAGAGAGGGGUUGUGUGUUAUAAUGCUUUUCAGGUAAAACUAAGAUCUGUUGCCUUCAAUUUAGUUCCAAAGCACCGGUGUCACUGUCCACAUUUGGAAUUCUUCUCUUCAGAAAAAUUUUUAAACGCUUUUGGAUGGGUUUCUUGCAUGAUCUUGUCACUUAAUGAAAAUUCUUGUGCCAUGUUGAUUUGAUAAUGCUUCUAUGACAAGAAUGGUUGCAAUAGAAAAUUUUCAAAUGUAUGUAUAUAGUUGAAAGUAUAACAGGCUAUGUUUUUU